rnacentral:rRNA from 1 species
UACAGAGGUCCCAAGCGUUGUUCGGAUUCAUUGGGCGUAAAGGGUGCGUAGGCGGCGCGGUAAGUCGGGUGUGAAAUCUCGGAGCUCAACUUCGAAAUUGCACUGGAUACUGCUCUGCUAGAGGGCUGGAGAGGAGAUCGGAAUUCACGGUGUAGCAGUGAAAUGCGUAGAUAUCGUGAGGAAGACCAGUGGCGAAGGCGGAUCUCUGGACAGCUCCUGACGCUGAGGCGCGAAGGCUAGGGGAGCAAACGGG